rnacentral:misc_RNA from 1 species
GAUGAAGAACGUAGCGAAAUGCGAUACGUAAUGUGAAUUGCAGAAUUCAGUGAAUCAUCGAGUCUUUGAACGCACAUUGCGCCCCCUGGUAUUCCGGGGGGCAUGCCUGUCCGAGCGUCAUUGCUGCCCUCAAGCACGGCUUGUGUGUUGGGCCUCCGUCCUCCUCCCGGGGGACGGGCCCGAAAGGCAGCGGCGGCACCGGGUCCGGUCCUCGAGCGUAUGGGGCUUCGUCACCCGCUCUUGUAGGCCCGGCCGGCGCUUGCCGACACAUCAAUCUUUUUUCCAGGUUGACCUCGGAUCAGGUAGGGAUACCCGCUGAACUUAAGCAUAUCAAUAAGCGGAGGA